UUCAGGCCGCUCUUCAUAUCUCUAUAUUUGAUUAUGUUCUCCAGGGAUAACUGCUCUUCCUCGCUAAACACCUGCUGCUUUUUUGUGAAUAAGUGGAGGACAGAAAUGCAGCAAGGCAGAAACAGAGGGAAGCCAGGCCCCAGAGAGCUACAGCCGAGCGCCCGGGGAGGGCUCUGGCAAAGAGGUGCGUGGGACUGCAAGCCUUCAAAGCCUAUGGUCCAUGGUCCAAGAGCUAAAAACAGUCACAAACUUCUCCACCAUCUGGAUGAAAAAUUACAGCUCCUCUUGCUACUGUUUCUUCUUCAGCAGGAGGGUUUUUGCAGAGGUUUGUCAGAACCAACUUCACAGCAUGCAUUUCAACAAUGAGAAAUGGCUGUGAUCAAGGGAAUAAACAUACUCCUGAGUACAAUACCUCUGCACUGGCAUAGCAACCUCUUGCAUUGCUUGGAAAGAAAUGGAAUCAGCAGGCAAUAAAACAGGCAAGUUGUCUUUGACUGUCCUUACACUAAUUACUCACUUUUUACCUUUCUUUUUUUCUUCUAAUUUUUUGUUCCCCUUUUUGGCUUGCUAGUGUCCUAGGUUUACCUUCUGAUCUCAGUCAUUAGUCUCUCUGCACCAGUGGGAAGUCGCUUAAUUCAGCCAAUGUGGUAAAUGUUGUGUGGCUGCUUUCACAGAAGAAUUAUAAUGACUGCUGUUAGUAUUAAUCACUGCAUUCUUGAAUUAGUUUUGCAAUGCACUGUCUGGAGAAAGGAGAAGAAUCAUAUCCACAUGACAAACUGCCAUAACUCUAUUGACAUCCAAAGAGAGGGGCUGCUUAGCUUAGCGCUGACUGCGGUCUCUUAUUUCAUUUAAGAAAACAUUUGUCUUCCUUCUGACAUUCAUGUCUGCUUUACACUAAAUAAAAUUAUGCUUUUUGUCAAACUUGGGUCACACGAACUGAUUCUAAUGGUAAAUGAGGGAGUGAAACUUUAAAAGAUUUAUUCCUUAAACACUGCUAAGAAAGGAAAAGUAAGUGUGUCUGUCAGCAGUUAUUAUCUUUCUUUUGUGCUAUUCACUAGUGGUACAGGAACUUCGCCAGGCCUCACUCUUUUGAUAAUUUAAUUGUGUUGUAGCUUCUUAUGGUAGAUAUUUCCAGGAAAGCAAGAUCAGUAGGGACAGGCAGCAUCUUUUCCUAGCCUUGCUAAUAUAUUUGGAAAAACCAGGUGUGCUGUCAGGUUCUGAGAUCCUGCAGGUGACCAUGCUUAAAAAUGUUCUAUACCUGCUCUGGUGAAUGACAUUAGCUCUGCUCCAAGCCUCAUUUUCUCUGGCCAUCACAGCUAUAACACCACUGCUAUUAAAAAACACAGAGGGUGAUUCUUUCCCUCAGCUUCCAUAGGCCAGAAAAAUGAUUACUGUAUGUCCCUUAAGAUGUUGGGAGGGAAGAAGCAAUGUUUUCUGUAUCAGUGGGCAGCACUUUCUCUGCAGCUGUUGUCUGGUAUUGUCCUUUGAUCACUCCAAUCCCUCCUGCUUCACAACAGUUGUGAUAUCUCAGUGCUGAAGCUGGGCACUGAAUCCUCCCGCUCGCUUCUGGAUACGGUCCCCAUGCAAUCCACCAUCAGACCAACAGCUUCUGCUCUGUUUAGACCAACAGUUCAGACACACAUUUCAUAACCGUCAUCUUCUGGAUCAGUUUUUACAGACAUAUAAAAUAGCUUUUCUUCCCCCGGCAUCCAUAUGCUGAACUGCCAGAUUACACAGAUGCCCUGUUUUAAGGUUCUAAUUUGCAAAGUCUCAUUAAAUUAAGAAUUAACUGCAGACUGAGAAUUAAAUCACUUACCUGCCUUAAGCAAUGCUAUGUUCUGUGCAAACUGUUUUCUAGGACUUCGACAAGUCAUUUUAAGGCCGGGUUUACCCUAAGCAGUGCCUACUUGUGAAUGUGCAAAUCCUUGACACAAAAUUCACUUUCCUGUUACAUGGAACUAAAUGCCCAAAUGGACUUUCAAAGGAAUCUUUGUGCUUAACUUCUGCAUCUUUGAUCGUACACCUUACAUACUGAAGAGAAACAGAAGACAGGAGAGAAGCCUGAGGCCAGAGAAAGGCCCAAGGUCAAACAGAAGAUGGGAGCCAGGGCAGACCUGCCCCAUCUCAGCUCCGGCCAUGUGCGCCAGGCACAGGGAGAAGAGCUGGAAGCUCUAUUACCUUAAUGAUUACUUAAUGGGAGAAGACUACUGAAGUUCUGGACAGUGUUCACAGAAUUACCUACACUGCUUGAAGACAGCAAGGUAAUGCAAAGAGAAAUUUUCCCUUGACCUCAUUUGGAUAUCAAGGCCAACCCUCAUAUCCUCAGGGAACAGACAAGUAUGUGGGCUGAACAUGCUGCUCUAUGUAAUUUGUCUUCAUGAAAACACUUGACUUGUCAAAAGUAAACACUUGCAAGAAACUGUGCCCACUAUAAUUCCAUCACUUGACUGGCGCUAUUAAGUACAUUAUUAAAAAAUUAAGUUGUCUCCCACUACUGCACACUGCUUUGUUCUUAUAACUUGUGUCUUUCUUAUGCUGUUGUCCCAGCGUAGCUGCAAAACCUGCAGUAUUAGGA